rnacentral:misc_RNA from 1 species
AGGCUUUGGUUAGCGCUUUUAAAAAACAAGCGGGGACACGAGCUUGGGAGCGAAUUUUGGAGAAAAUGGUCAAUUCUAAUUAGUUUAGCCAAUGUGACACACUUGCAUAUUAUUAGUAGUAAUGCCUGGAAGCAAAUGCGCCGCUGCCUGGUGCAGCAAUGAAUCGGAGGGCGGCCUUUCUGGCCUUUCCUUCCACAGGUUUCCUACGAACCCACCGACCAGUGGAUCGAAUAUGCAAAUUGCCCGAGGCUCAAGGACCUUCCAAACAAGCAGCUGCAAAGGGUCAGGUUGUGCGGCCUUCAUUUUACACCGUUCAUGUACCUGAAACCAGGGCCCACGGCAAAGGGCAUAUUGAAGAGGCUUAAGAAAUGUGCCGUUCCUACCGUUCCCGUAGUCGAUCCGGAACUGAGGCCUUUCGUUCCACCAAAGUUCUACAAAGGACCAGUAGAACAAGAUGGUGUGCCCUUGCCUUCAGCAAGCACUCCUCCCUACACAAUGCCCUUGUCACCCUUACCUCCUCUUUCAACGCUGUCCCUCGAUGCCCCUUUGCACUCUGCUUCUCCAUCUGCUGCCCUUGCCUCCCCUCCUUCCCCUUCAGCUCCUCUGUCCCCUUCAGCUCCUCUGUCCCCUGCAGCAUCUCUCCCCCCUCCCUCUCCGCCAUCUCCUCCAUCCCCCACUGCUCCUAUGUCCCCUGUGGCACUUCCCUCCCCUACUGCCCCACUGUCCCCUUCCAUCGCCUCUACUUCAUUAACGCCCUUGACACUGACGACAGAAGAUUUGACAGACCCCUCACAAGUGCUCUCACAGCAACCGUCAGCAGAUCCAGAUGAGAACCAAGAGACCUGUGCCGAGUCCCCUUGUUCUGCAUCGUUGCCUGAUGGCUAUUAUCGCCACGCAUAUUCCAAAAAGCCCGGUGCCGAGCCCUCUUCGUCUGAUGGCUAUUAUGACCACGCAUACUCCAAAAAGUACCAUCAAGGACUAGAGGAACAAUACGAUGAAUUGACGAAAUGCAGCGUGAUUAUGCUGCAGAAAGAGAAGCCACCUCCAAAAAGGCGCGGUCGCCCACCUAUAUACAAGAAAGUCCAGCCAUUUGUAUGCGCAGACAGCCAGCCCAGUAGCGAAGAAGUCACCGCUCCUCCACACCCUGUGCAACUUGAGCAGUCUUCAAGCCCCGGAAGCAAAGUACCCAAGGAGCUAUCUCCCCGUGAAAGAAGAAGUAUCCUGCGACGUCAUUACUGGACAGCAAGAUAUCACCUCCUACGAGUCACCUCAAGGUUUCACAGACCAAAACGACCUGUCACGGCCCGUGAAAAAAUUGCAUCCGAAGCCGCCAAGUACGUCAGCAAAGAAUUCCUGGACAUCUUGCGUGCCGAGCUUCGUCUUCCAGCCCUAAAGAGUGUCAAGAACAACCAGUCAAGUUGCUCGGGCAGUCUGUCCACUGCUGAGGGCAGGGGCGACUGCAGGCAGGUCCACAAGCUGUCUUCGUUUGGUCCCGAGUCUCUAGAUGAGCCUCAAAUUUUUCUGAGCUCCUUAGACGGAACAAAUGCAUCAACACAAGUUUCUUGUUGGCAAGUUUCAACACCCAAAGUUGCUCGCAGGGCGUCUUAUCAGAAUGUCACGUGAUGAACAUUGCUCAAGUAGAAACUACUCUUUGGCGUGUGUUCUGCUAUUCUUGCAUUGUUAUAUUAUACUACGGUAUCUGUUUUUGCCACACAGAUCACAGAGCUUUCAGUGAGUCUUAGACAUUAAGUUUCUGCGACACAAAUACAUACCACUGUUCUUCACUUCGUGGUCGGCCGUGUCAGCGCUGCACUCUUCAGCACAUCACUUUAGUACUUGAAUUUGUUGUAUAGUAAAGAAAAUGGUGAUGCUACAGAAAUCAGCGAGAAAGCAGCAUCGUGAAAUUUUGUUGUCAUAUGUCAUACAGUCGUCGUAUAACAAAUGUUUCACUGACGUACAGUGCUCAGGAACUGACAUGCGACAGUCGGCCCUCAUGGCGGCCAGCAAAUUUUUUUUUUCAGCUUCGGUAAGCACUGGGUGGUUGCGUGGGGAUCGAAUGCUCUCACAGUGAAGGACAAAGGCUCUUGCUUUAAUUUCACUCUGAAAUCUCGUUGAUACGAUCUUUGCGGGAACCGGGAAAAAAAUGCAUCAUCCAAAAAGCUUAUUAUCCAAAGCGAGCUCCAUAAAGUAUGGAAAGUGGUUUGCUUGCUGACAAACCCAUAACACGUACAAUAUGUGGAGCAGUAUCACUCAACAUCGCACGAACUGUGGCCAACACAUUCAGAAACUUUCAAAUAGCUCAUCAGUUAAACAUUGAACUUUCUAUCUUCUAAUGUAAAUAAACAAGUUCUUUUUGGAAGUUAAA